AGCAGCCGCGGUAAUUCCAGCUCCAAUAGCGUAUAUUAAAGUUGUUGCAGUUAAAAAGCUCGUAGUUGAAUUUCGGGAUCAGUAGGUCGGUCAUGCCUCAGGUAUGUACUGGUCUCACUGGUUCCUCCUUCCUGAUGAACCGUAAUGCCAUUAAUUUGGUGUUGCGGGGAAACUGGACUGUUACUUUGAAAAAUUAGAGUGUUUAAAGCAGGCUAACGCUUGAAUACAUUAGCAUGGAAUAAUGAAAUAGGACGUUCGAUCCUAUUUUGUUGGUUUCUAGGAUUGACGUAAUGAUUAAUAGGGAUAGUUGGGGGCAUUAGUAUUCAAUUGUCAGAGGUGAAAUUCUUGGAUUUAUUGAAGACUAACUACUGCGAAAGCAUUUGCCAAGGAUGUUUUCAUUAAUCAAGAACGAAAGUUAGGGGAUCGAAGACGAUCAGAUACCGUCGUAGUCUUAACCAUAAACUAUGCCGACUAGGGAUCGGAUGAUGUUAUUUUUAAUGACUCAUUCGGCGCCUUACGG
rnacentral:rRNA from 1 species